AAUUUUAAUGUAACCACUAGGAAAUUUAAAAUUACUUACUAAUUGCAUCAUAUUUCUUUUGGACAGUGUUGGCCUAGAAUACUGUUCACAGCAACUGCGCGGUGGUGAGAGUAUUUAAAGGGGCCUGGAUGUGAACGCAGUUGUGGGUGGCUGGUUUCCUGCUUGGAACACAGACUGUCACUCACUGGGUGCUCACCGAGAGCUCUCACUGUUCUGAGUGCUUUGUAGGAAUUCACUCACAACAGCCGGUGAGAUAAGUGUUACUAUAAUUUCCACUUAACAGAUUGGGGACUUUGAGUCAGAGAUAGAAUAAGCAACUUGCCUACACUCAGCAAGUGUAGUGAGUUUUAGAAGCCCCUGCUGUAGACCCUGUCUACCUAUGUAUGUCCUUCCUCCACAGAGCAAACAGACCAGGGGGCCAAGAGGAUGUGCCUCCUGGAACUCGUACUCCCAUCCCUAUUCUAGAACAUGCGCUGGUUACUCAGAAUCUCAGAGUUCCCUGCCCACAGAGUUAGAAGGUAAUUUGCAAGGCCUAUGUGGAUCUCUUCCCUGGAUCCAUCCUCCUAAGGUUGGAUUGUUCCUGACGGAUCUGGGUUGUGGCUGAGGCCAGCCUUUUGCAGGGGGCAGGAGGCAUGGAUAGAGCUUCACUGCAAGAUGGAACCAGGGUUGGAAAGAGAGGUAGGGCAGGCUGGGUGAUGGGGGCUUCCAGUCGUGCUGCUGCUCUGGACCCCACUAAUGUCAAGAGCAGGCCUAGUGCCCAGAUCUACAGGCUGAGGGGCUGACAUAGCUGAAGAUGGUUAGCUUCCAAGACUUUGCAGGUGACUCUGGGCCUGGAGACUCACCCUCACAUACAACAGCCACAAGGAAAGCCUUACUACGGCGCUGAUUGGAGGCCAGCGGUGACCUUCAGAAGUCCUGUUUCUGCCUUGGUAUAUAAGCCAACGUGGACUCUGACGGUGGCAGUUUCCAUGCCUGCCCCUUCCCAUUUUCUCCUCAAAUUCAAAAUGGCCCCCCUUAUGGACAGCAGCCCUUUUGUUCCAGAAAGCAAUAAAUAAAUAAAUAAAUAAAUAAAUAAAUAAAUAAAUAAAUAAAUAAAAAUAAGAGCCUCACUGUCGAAAUCACAGUGCUGGAAUGUAUUUCAAUAGUUUAGUACUACCAGAGGGAAAAACAAAACAAAACAAAACACCCUGAGCUUUGAUAGAGAGUUCAUUCUUGUAGGUGCAAAAGGGAAGAACGAGAAUAUCUUUGCAUUUUUCUUUCUGUAACAUACAGAGGGUGGUUAUAUGUACCCCUGAAUCUUUUGUGCUGAGUGCCAUUAGAGCCUUCUCAAGUCUUACAAAGGAAGAUUCUGGAAAACAGAGCACUGUGGACCCCUACCCUUGCUGGGCCGGUGGCAAGAGACUUUUCAGGGCUCCAGUCCUUGCUGUGAAACAUUGUUUUCUUUUGUCUGCCUUCCAGGCGGUUCUUUCCUGGGCAUUAGAUGGGACUUCAGUGAUCAACAUCAGGAGAAGCCCUCGCCAUAGGCGGCUUUGUUAGCAACAUGCAAAUAUUCCCCUUAUCUAGAAGCCUAUCCUCAGCCUCCUUCUGACGCUUCCUUUCUUGCCGGAUUAUCUUUUGAACUGCACGUAAGAUAAAUUCUUAAUAUUCCACUUAACAGCAUCUAAAAUAAAUUCUUGGCUUUCCUUCACUGGGGAGAGGAAGAAGAAAACACAGCAGCAGAGCAAGAAUCUAAACAGCCUGCAAGGUCAGGCCAGGGUGAAGGAGAUAAUCCUUAUCUCCUCCGAGAUCAAAAUAAGAGGCAAUUAAUUCACUUGGCUGUGCAAGGGGCUCUGGGUAGACAUUGAAAGAACGCCCAGAUAAUGAGGAUUUCUGAACUGGGGAAUGAAUUGCCUGGGUGGGAUAGAAUCUUCUUCCCUGGAGGUACUUAGGAGCUGGAGCAAGAGCCAGGCGGUACGUAAGUGCUGAUCGGCUUGCGUGGACGGAGAAGAAUUCGCCCUGUGUCUGCUCAGGAGGACGAUGAGGGCAGCUAGCUGAAUAAAAUCCGUCUCUCCCCUCCCUUCUAGGUCUUCUCAGGCAAUUCACAUAAACCAGGCCAGCUGUGAUAAAUACCUUGCAUUGUAGAUUUCUAAAACGCUUUCAUGUUUUCCGUUGGUUCUUACAGUGGCUGCUCCACGAGUUAGCUGGAAAACGCUUGUAUUGUGGCCAUGGGGAGGGGACAGCAGAGUGUGGGGAGCUGCUCCCCCUCGCACAGCUGGUUAGCACCAGGGCCGGGACUACCACUGGGCUCCGGAUGCGUUGCUCUUUUCCACUGAAGGUUGAACACUGAAUCCGGUGAAGUAUUAGGGGUGGUGGGGAUUCUGCUAUAGCUUACAUGGCAUUUCUGAAAAUCUUCAAUGUGUUUAAAAAUGAAAAUAAUGUGGACUUCUCACCUUACCUCCUUGUUAAUGUUUGGCUGGAGGGUGGGAUGGCUUGAGCGUUAUUAGAAUUGACACGAACCACAGAUGCCACUACAUUGAAAAAAACAAGGUGGGGGCGGGGGGGUUGCUGUCCUCUGCCCAAUUGCACGGUCUGCUUCCCUGUGAGGCUUUGUCCCAGGGGCUUGACGCCAAACCAGAAAACUCUGGGGAACAGCAUUGCUGCAAAGAGCCCAGUCUCACUCCAGGCAGAUAAACCAGAUGAUUUGGUUCCGGCUUCAUCGGCCCGACUCAGUCCCGCAUGGCUGCUUUCCUUAAGAAAUCGAGAGUAAAACUGAAUUUUAAAAAAUAAUGAAAACCACUCUAUAUCUCUUCUAUGGAUCUGAAGUCAAAGAAGGGUGGAGCUGAGUUUCUGUGUUCAGAGGGUUUUUCCAGGGAAGUGACAGGUGGGGUGUAGUCCUAACGUGGAAUCCUGGAAAUGGGCUGGCUGCAAGUAUUCACCUUCGAAUCAAUUGCAAAUGCCUUUCUGGCUGCCCACCACCUACGACUGCAGCCCUCACCUAGUCUCGUUUUAAGGUACAGGCUUGUUACAAAAAUGUCACAUGGAGAUCAGCAAUGUCUGUGAAAAUCAGAAAAAUAAACAUUUAAUAUUCCAUAGUAUUUGUAAACAUGAAAAAACCAAAGACCUUUUUAAUUCUUCUAUAGGAAAUACCACUCUGGGACUUGAGAAGAAGGGGUUAGAUUUUUCUGCUUUAAAUUUUGGCUACGUAUAUUAUAUAUAUUAUAUAUAUAUGUAUAUGUGUGUGUCUACAUAUAUUAUAUAUAUAAUAUACACACACAUACGUAGAUACAUAUACACAUACACACACACCUAUGUAGACACGCACAUAUUUGCAUAUGUGUAUGAAUCCCUUAGACACACACCCUCUUCCAGAUAAAUCAUCCAAAUCUGUAUUUGCCUGUGUGCAAACAUACCAUACAGAUCCAACACACACACACACACACACACACACACACACACACACACCAGAACCCACAGAACUGAAUUCCAGCAAUAUUUGUUUUGUUUUGUUAUCUACUGAUGAUGGCACCUUUAAUUUUACCCUUUUGUAACAGAAGGUCUGGGGCUCCUGGCUAUGACACUGAACAGUGUUUUCUUCCCUUAAGUUUAUUUAUUUAUUGGGGGCGAGGAGGGGCAGGGAGAGAGAGGGAGAGAGUGAAUCCCAAGCAGGCUCCACGCUGUCAGUGCCGAUCCCCACGCGGGGCUUGAUCCCAUGAACCGUGAGAUCAUGACCUGAGCUGAAACCAAGAGUCUGAUGCUUAACCAACUGAACCACCCAGGCGCCCCACCAAACAAGUUUUUGUUUUUUUUUUUUAAUCUGAGAAAGGAAGGAAGGAAGAAAGGAGGAGUUUUAGCAGAAUUAGUUGGGUGGUAGAGGCCUCUCGAAAGCACCUUGCCUCUCACAGGUAGCAGAGAAGGAAGAACGAGAAACUGGAGGGGAGACUUUCCUGCUCCCAUUUCCUGCACGAAGAAACUCCCUCUUAAAGUGAGUUGGUACAACCCAUCUGCAGGGUAUAUUUGUCUUAUCCAUCCAUUUGGAUCCCAUUCUUGUUGCAGAAAUUAUCCUUGAGAGGCAAUGGAACAAAUGUGCAAAGAUGAAUAUGUUGGGAUGCACAUUAGUGACAAGCGAGACAAUUAAAGACAACGUAACGUCUGUCAAGGCAAGACAUUAUUUAAUGUGUGGUAAAUGUACCAUGCUAUACCCCCACAUAUCACAAUGAACUGCCAUUCAAAUGGUGAUCCAUAUUCCUUGCCUGGAAAGAUAAUGAGAAGUGCUAUUUAAUGAGUGUUGACCGUGUGGCAGGUGUUUUACAUAUAUGGUGUUACUCAAUGCUCAUAACCAAGUUCAAGGGAUGAUAAUCCUCAUUUUACCGAUGAGGAAAAUGGCCUGAGGUUAAGUAGGACCAAAUCACAGAUUCAGGAAGCAGUCGGUUAAGAUUUAAACUUUACAGCCCACUUCGAAACAUCUUUGCCCAUAGCACUGUUUUGUUUUUUUUUUUUAAUUUUCGAGACUGAGAGAGAGAGAGAGCACAAGCCGGGGAGAGGGGCAGAAGAAGAGAGAGAGAAUCUUAAGCAGGCUCCAUGCUCAGCGAGGAACCAGAUCCACAGCCCUGGGAUGAUGACCUGCGCUGAAAUAGAGAGUCGGAUGUUCGACCAAGUGAGCCACCCAGGUGCCUCUCACAGCACCUUUUUGGAUGAAAUGAUUAAGGCACAGGAACCCAAAGUAUACCCGCACUGCUCUGCAUCACCCUAGGCCGCUAGCUUCACGAGGUCAUGUACCACCCCUGCUUUAGUCCGUCAUUAUGAUGCCAGCACCUGUCACGAUGCCUGACAUGCUCUCUCAAACUUUCCGUCCUACGAGUGGUGCCAAUAUGCCCCUGAGCUCAAAAUUUUGGCAUCAACAUUGACAGUUUCCUCCGUUCGGCCCUUCAAAUGGAGCCAGCCAUCCAGGCUUCUCAAGUGCGCCUUCAAACUCUCCUAGGAUGAUUUCUUUCCAUUCCUGCUUUGCCUUUGGGUCGUUACAUAGUUGGAUACCUGGGCCUAAAUUCCCCUUCCCUUCAACGGCUCUAAACUACCUACUGCAACGAUCCUAAAUUUGUUUGUCUACCUUUCAAGACCCUGCAUAAUUUUCUCCUACCUGAUUUUAUUUUCCACGGCUCUCAAUGCUAAUCCGUCUACACAGACAUGCACAUAGACACAUCCACAUUCCCGUGGGUGUACACGCCCUUCCACCAUCACCCACCUUUCCCUCGGGCUGCCUCCUCCUGCACACUUUUGGAUGGUCUCUGUAAUCCUGGCUUUGUCCGUCGGAACGCACCCCGGGAGGGCGUUUACCACCUCCGGCACCAGUCUACCGUAAUCUCUCCUUCGACCACCUCCACAGGCUGUGGUUUUCGGCGACAAGCCACACCUCUGCACUUACCCCCGUUUUCCUGAUCCCUCAGGCUUCUGGAAUCCCCCUGGACUCAAAAAGCCUUCGAGAAAACAAAAGUAGAACCGAUGGACAGUAGAGCACCGCGGCUGAGGGCCAGCUCACCAGCACUGCGAGGCAGAGCCACUGUCCAGGGACCGCACGGUGCUGAGAUCCGUGGCUUGCUGGGCUGAAGGAGAAGCCCCCACUAAUUGGUUCAGACCACAGAGGUCAACCCCACGAACAUCCGGUAAGACAGGCACGAUGAAAGCCAUACAAGCCGGGAGAGAAGAAAGCAGCUGUGGUGAGUGGGGCUGGGUGUGAUUAGAAGUGCCAACAGGCGCUGUGGACGGCGGUGGAGAAGCAAGUUGAUGACGAGGCGACAGAAGACGCCAGCUCUGGGGUCUGCGGGGGUGGCAACAGGCCCACGCUCACUCGUGUGCUCGCUCUCUCUCUCUCUCUCUCUGUGCAACAGCCCUUGGAAACGAGGAAGAUUCUGGGGACGCAGCAGCUUCCUGUCCUGCCUAGAAGGCAUGGUUCUGCUGCCGCAGGUGGAGGGGUGGGAGUGGCCAGCCGUGUGAAACCCCUGGCAGUGUGUGUGGCCCCUCUGCCUCGCCUGCCAGAGGCUACCACUCAAGUGCCCCCAGGGACCAAGCAGGGAAUGCGCGUGUGCAAGGUGGGGCAGGUGUCAGGAACAGAGAGGGGUAGGGACCAUGACGAGUGGAAGAGCACACACGCCAUCAGAAAGCAUCCGAAUGCGCAUCGUCUUAAGAUAGCGUGCAGGCGAAACAAACAUGGGUUUGGCCCACAUGUGGCCCACAGACACCCCGCCUAUUGUCUCUGGGCUCCGCAGGUGCGUGUGCAACACACUACAAGGACUGACGAUGGCAGGGGUGACCCUGAGUUGCCAACACGUUGGUGAAGCUCUCUCAAACUGCCAGUACAGAUGUGGUCCGAUGCGGUUAUCUUACCUGGACCUGGGGGGGGGGGGCUCAGCUGGAUGACACGGCUUCACCAGCCGUGCUCACAGUGUAUGCUCAGUGAGCAGUCAGGGAUCCUAACAGCUCCCGUGGCUGCACAGAACUUUAUUAUUAUUAUUUUUUUAAUAUUUAUUUAUUUUGAGAAGGGGGGAGGGAGGGGCAGAGAGAGAGAGAGGGAGAACGAGAAUCCCAAGCAGGCUCCACGUUGUCAGCACAGAGCCCAUCGCAGGGGCUCGAUCUCAUGAACCAUGAGAUCCUGACCUGAGCCAAAGUCAAGAGUAGGACGCUUAACCGACUGAGCCCCCCAGGCCCCCCACAGAACUUUAGAAAGUCAACGGGGGAGAGGCCUGGAAUCUUACUGUUCCCUCAGUAGCAGUCAUUGGUGGCUUCCUGCCUUAAAGGCUCGGCCAUAGUUACAAUUCUGCUGCUGUUACCCCGUAACUCUUCGACUUUCCCUCUCUCUGCCUCUUGGCUUCUACUUGUCCCUGACUUAACAUCGCUUCUUAGCAACUGCUUAUUCGUGACUUGUCUUGCCUUGUGGCUUCUGCCUCUCCUUGCGUGACCCAGCUUCCGUUUCAUAGGUGAGCCAGUCAACAUCUGCCCAGUGCCUUUGCUGGAGAGCUCUUAUGCCAGAUGGCCUCAUAGGCUACUCACUACCCUACAGAUGGGUGCUUUCAGUGAAGUUCCAAGAGUCAGAGUCAACUUUGGCCAGAGAAACAUGGUCCUCGGCACAAAGCAUGGGACUCAUUUAUAAAGAGCUACUGAUGCUUGCUCUCAGAAGGGGCAGUGAGCAUAGCAGAUACUUGGAACGUCGUGCCCACAACACUAAGAUAUAUAUAAUUUUUUUUAAGUAAUUUCUACUACCCACAAUGUGAGGAUCAAAUUCACAACCCCCAAGACAGAGAGUCUCAUGCUCUACCGACCGAGCCAGCCAGGCGCCCCUAAGAUAUCUUAAGCUACAUUCAGGAUACUCUCUUUGUGAAGGCAGGGGGAAAAGUCAGUUCGAAUAGGCAUGGAAAUCAAAGGCUUACCUCUCAGAUAAACUGACAGAAUACCCAGUUCAGAGCAGCUUAAAUAACUAUGGACUCUUCUCCCGCUAGAAGUAGAGAGAGGUAGUUAUUGGUAUUGGUUCAGCCACUCUAUGAUAUUAGGACAACCAUCUCUGAGAUUCCUUUGGCUUGUACCUCCUGGUUACAAAAUUGCUGCUGCAGAUCUGUGUUCAAGAACGAAGGAAGGUUCAGGGCACCCGGGUGGCUCAGUCGGUUAAGCGUCUGACUUCGGCUCAGGUCAUGAUCUCACAGCUUGUGGGUUCGAGCCCCGCAUCGGGCUCUGUGCUGACAGCUCGGAGCCUGGAGCCUGCUUCGGUUUCUGUGUCCCCCUCUCUCUCUGCCCCUCCCCCACUCACACGCACUCUUAAAAAUAAACAUUAAAAAAAAAAAAAGAAUGAGAGAAGGUUCUUACCAGCUGAGUUGGUCCCUUUUAUCAGGAGAGCUAAAGCCUUCCUAGAACCCACCCACCUUCACCAGUCCACUUUCCCUUAACAUCCCUCUGGCCUGGGCUGUGGCGCCCUCGUUGCAGGCAGGCUGGGAAAUCGAGUGCCUCGCUCUCUAGUGAGAUUGAUAGCACCUUGUUUCUUACGCAUAGGGAUUUUCUCGCGUUGUGUUUUCAAUGCACCAUACAGCACUGGGCGCCUUAGGAAGGAAGUAUGAAGUAACAAAAAAAAAGCACAGAAAAAAGGAUAGGUUUAAACACCAGCUCCAUGAUUUCCUCUGUAAUCAAAAGCAAUGAACUUGCUGAAAGUCAUCCUCAAGCUAAAGAAAAAGGGGUACCAAAUACUUCCUUGCAGGGCUGUUGUGAGAAUUAAAUAAGAUAGUGUGUUUACAAUCCUUGGCCAGGAAGAGAUACCCCCAAGUGAUUACUGUUCUACCAUGGUCUGUUGUCUUCUGUUUGAUGGGCACACGGUGGGUGGACACAUGGUGGAAGGCAGUAGAGCUUGACGGUCAAGAGCACAGGCCCCAAAGUCAAGUGGUUGGGUCCAGUCCCAUUCUCCACCACUAACUAGCUGUGUGACCUCGGAGAAGUUUGCAGUCUCUCUGAGCUUCAGUUCCCCUCUUGGAGACUAGAGGUAAUAGACCAUAGCUCAUAGGGGUACACUUGGAAGAAAAGAAGAGAUAAUGUCCCUUUAAAGCACUGGGCCUGGGCCACAAAGCACACAUGCGGUAAAUGUUGGCUAUUAUUAUUAAUUGCCGGGGUGCCUGGGUGGCUCAGUCGGUCGAGCUCAGCUCGAGACUUCGGCUCAGCUCAUGAUCUCACGGCUCAUGAGUUCGAGCCCCGCGUUGGGCUCUGUGCUGACGGCUCAGAACCCGGAGCCUGCUUCGGAUUCUGCGUCUCCCUCUCUCUCUGCCCCUCCCCCACUCAUGCUCUGUCUCUCAAAAAUGAAUAAAUGUUAAAAAAAGAUAAAAAUAUAUAUAUAUAUAUUAAUUGCAUUUUUUUCUCCCUUGGCCCAGAACUAAAACCUAUUGAACCAGAAGAGCAAGUACCUUGCUGUUGAAACUUUUAAAACCAAGUGGUCUUCAAUGCCCUAAAAUACACAAACUAUCGAACCAGAAGCAGCAGCGCACCAAGAGUCGGGGAGUGUUGGAGCAGGUGGGGUGGGGUGGUCUGCCCUGGAUUCAGGCAAUAAGAAGGUACAUUGUCUGCAGAGCACUCUUUUAAUAAUAAUUUUUUUUGACACAGGGCUUGAUCUCACGGCCAUGAGCUCGUGACCCGAGCUGAAAUCCGAUGCUUAACUGACUGAGCCACCCAGGUGCCCCAAUAACUACUUUAAAACCCCCAAGUAAGAUAAAAAAUUUAUUUGCUUUUCAUUACCACCAUGUGCCAAGAUUUCUAAACAAUGUAAGUGAUCAAAUAGACUCCCCAAACCCCAUCACGUUUGCCCAAGUUCUAAAGGAUUGCUACAAUUACUGUUGAGUUUUAAUAAUAGGCAAGCUUCGCAUUAGCACAUUUUUAUUAGCCUUUAAUACAUAUCGCAUUCUACUGGAGAAUUCCAAGUUCUGCAGUCAGCCUCUGACACCCGCAGAGUCUGGCCCUAACUGUUUGGAAUCACAAGAGCCCCCUUCAGAUUGUCUGCAAUUCCCUAGUCCUUCACUCUCCUGCAUGUAAACCACAGCCUCUGGAUCGACCAUGAGAACGCAGGGCCCCUAGAGACAAAGAGAGGAAACUCGAGUCACUUCAAUUCUGUGUGGCUUUGGGGAAUUUGAUGUGUAUUGAAAGUUAAAACAGCUACCAGAUGGUGAACUACAAGGUGUGAUAUUUUCGUUUGGCAGAUGCAAAUUUUAUUUCAUACAUGGUAUAUCGUACCCCAGUUGAGUGAACUUUUAAAGUAAACUCCUUCUUUGAAAUUAUGUCUUUGUUUUUAAAAUUAAAGAGCAAAUCAAGAUGCUGGUGCUCAUUGCUGAUUGCUUCACGAUCAUUCCUGAAAACAAUUUGUAUCAGAGAGGAAGAUGUGAGGCAUGAUUCGCCCUGAUUAGAUUAACGUUGCCGCCCGGGUGCUGCGAUCCGCAAAGAUGGGAGAAGGCGGAGGAAGGCGAGCAAACACCUGUAUGUUUUUAUUCACAUUUCAACCUAUCUGAAAUCACAAUGUGUGUCACUGUUGCCCCUAGAUGGGUGGUAGUCGUGACGUAUCGUCACUGCCAGAGCCCGUGCGUCAACACCAGCGUCCGUGUGGAAGAAAACCCCAGGGAUAAUAACGAGUCACUCUUCAAGCAAUGCUGCAGGAACCACUGCCUUGCUGGACCAAGGAACAGCAAGAUGGGGCAGGUGGAACAGAGGGACACUGAACUGGGCAUGGCUUAAAAGAGUUCUAUGUUUUUUUUUUAAAUUUGUUUUUGAUGUUUAUUUUUGAGAGAGACAGAGGGAGAGUGCAAGUGGGAGCAGGGGAGGGGCAGAGAGAGAGAGGGAGACACAGAAUCCGAAGCAGGAUCCAGGCUCUGGGCUGUCAGCACAGAGCCCGACGUGGGGCUCGAACUCACGAACCGUGAGAUCAUGACCUGGCGCUUCCCUGAGUGAGCCACCCAGGCGCCCCUGUUUCUUCUUUUGAUGUAUGAAUGCACAAGAGUGAUAGAAGAUAAAUGUGUGGGUACAAGGAUGCUCUCUGCAUAAAUACAAAAUUUUUAAAUUCUAAAAAAAAAAAAAAAAAAAAGGAGCUACUCUGGUAGCAAACGUGGCCACAUAGGAGGGGUCUCAGAGAGAACCUAGCCCAAGCCCCUCAUUUUACAGCCGCCCCAAAGAGAAUCGUCCGAGGUCACCCUGAUGGUCAGCGAAGACAACUAGACAAAAGUCUCCUGGCUAUUGCUGGACCACCUUCUCCUUCAUCCGCUCCCAAGCUAAGGAAAGUAGCACCACAGUGUUGGUGCUUUGUAAACUGUGAUAAAGAAGCAAGUGUUUAGAAACUUACAGUCAAAUCCUAGCACACACUGCAGGCCUCUUUUGUGACUCAUCGUGCAAGUUCAUAUCCACCCGGCCUCACCCUGCUCAGUGAAACAAGUAUGCUCGGCGAGGCAAGUGCCAAUCACGUGGACUAGCUGCCACGCCAAGUCGCCACGGAGGUCUCAACGUUUUCUCUCAAUUCCGCUCUUUGUCAUGGCUGGUACCGGUUCUCAGACCGGCCCUGAGUAGCUCCGUCCCACCAUCGUACAAAGUCUGUAACAGACUGAUGACAGAGAACAUCCCUGGAUAUCUCCGUAAGCAAAGGCUUAAGUCUCUGCGUUGUUUUGUUUUCAUUUCGUUCCCCGGGCGUGGUCUGUGAGGGUUAGGAGCACAGGUUUGAAUGAGAAUCACGACUAGCUGUGUGGCCUUGGGCUGGUGCCUCAACCUCUCUGAGCAUGAAUUUUCUCACCCGUGGAAUCAGGGCACGUGAGUAGCCAGCUCGAGGGACGCGUGUGCAAACGCCAGGGGGCCUCG